CGCUGCCCCCACUGCUCGGUUACCCCUGGACCUGCCUGUCAGCCUUCGUGCCCCGAAGAGCGGAGGUCGCUCUCCGCUCACAGGGUACCGCUCGGCCUGCUUCCAGCGAGGUUAGAAGAGAUACAGAAGGCUGGAGGACUAGCUCUGCACCAGCUUCUCACGUGCCCAUGGAGGAGCUUGCCCAGACCUGUACACUGAGGCGAGCCAGCUGCAGGGCGUGUCGCUCCUGCACCCACAGCCUGCAGGAUGGAGCAACCCUUCAGGAGCCCCUCAAACAACAGUGGUAGGCAGACCAAUCUCUCUUUGAUGGACAAGGAAGAACAGGACAGUAGAAACUCUGGAGACUUUUCUGCUGUUUGGUAAUUAUGACUGACAAUCUUUUUUUUACUUUGUUAUAAAAUUAUCAACUAAAUAUCAAACAGGAAGAUGCUUUUGAAAAUCUAAACUAUGCUUUAGGUUAAACUGACAACUCCAUCUUUUUCCAGUGUCUGUCCUUUCUAUGUUGACACCUGUCAAAUACUCUUCACAAGCCCUUCAGCUUGUCCACCUUCCACACUGGAUAUUUAACCCUCCCCUCCCCAAUUUAAUCUUUAUAGCAUAAAAGAGGAAAAAAAUGAUCACAUAGCCCAUGAAAUUGCACUGUGAUUUCCAAAACAAAGGCACGUUUAAAACUUCUUCUUAUGCAAUAUAAACUCUCACAGAUGUGACAGCCUUAUAUAUUUGUUCUUGACACAGGUCAAACCUAUGAAAAAAUUAUGCAUACUUUAAUCUAUCUUAUUAUAUAAUAUAU